ACUCCUACGGGAGGCAGCAGUGGGGAAUAUUGCACAAUGGGGGAAACCCUGAUGCAGCCAUGCCGCGUGUGUGAAGAAGGCCUUCGGGUUGUAAAGCACUUUCAGUAGGGAGGAAGGUAGUGUAGUUAACACCUGCACUAUUUGACGUUACCUACAGAAGAAGCACCGGCUAACUCCGUGCCAGCAGCCGCGGUAAUACGGAGGUGCGAGCGUUAAUCGGAAUUACUGGGCGUAAAGCGCAUGCAGGCGGCCUGUUAAGUCAGAUGUGAAAGCCCGGGGUCUUAACCGUCGGUAAUUGCAUUUGAAACUGGCAGGCUAGAGUCUUGUAGGAGGGGUUAGAAUUUCGAGGUGUAGCGGUGAAAUGCGUAGAGAUCUG
rnacentral:rRNA from 1 species